AUUGAACGCUGGCGGCAUGGCUAAAACAUGCAAGUCGAACGAGCCCGCAAGGGCAAGUGGCGAAAGGGUUAGUAAUACGAUCGAAUGCACCCUGAGGUGGCGGAUAGUCGUGGGAAACUGCGGGUAAUACGUCAUGAUCUCUCCGGAGCAAAGAUUUAUCGCCUUGGGAGCAGCGAUCGUCCUAUCAGGUAGUUGGCGGGGUAAUGGCCCACCAAGCCGAAGACGGGUAGCGGGUGUGAGAGCACGGCCCGCAACAUCGGAACUGAGACACUGUCCGGACUCCUACGGGAGGCUGCAGUAACGAAUCUUCCGCAAUGGGCGAAAGCCUGACGGAGCAAUGCCGCGUGUGGGAUGAAGCGCCUUCGGCGUGUAAACCAACUGUCAGGGAACGGAACCAAUGAUUGUUCCCAAAGGAAGUGGCGACUAACUCUGUGCCAGCAGCCGCGGUAGGCGUAUGUGU
rnacentral:rRNA from 1 species